GCUGAUAAUUCGAUCUUUGACCACGAGUAGUCUGGGUGUAAAAUGGCCAAAACAUGGUCCUGAUCUGAAUGACGCCCCGCAUUAGAUGAAUAACACUGCGUAUUUAGGAAUGGAUUCAAUUUCCCAAUUUCGUCACGUGCGUGACGAUCAAAUAUUAGGCUACUUUUGUAAAAGUAUUGAUAUUGUCCUGUCGCGAGAGACAUUGAUGAAGCAACUGACAUCAUACGAAAAGAUUAGGCUAUUUCAUGGAUGCAUUUGCCCUAGACAGUCUUUCUUGAAAGAUGGCGUCAUCUUUAUGGCCAGUAGUGUUGGCUGUGUUCUUUGGGGCCGCUCAACUCACCGUUUGUGUGCCAGUGAUGACAGGGGCACCCGUCGAUGUUCCCUCCAACCGGAGUGAUGUGCUGAGAGCAGCUCGGUUCGCUGUGGUCGAAUACAACAAAGAAUUUUCCGAUGAAGAGUACGCUUACAAAGCCACAUCAAUCGCCUCGUCCAAAAUUCAGGUGGUUGCUGGGCUUAACUUUAUCCUAGAAGUUAAUCUGGGCCUCACUCAAUGCAAGAAAGAACAGACAUUCGAUGUAGAAAACUGUCCUUUACAAACAAACGGAAAGAAGCUGCAUUGCCAUUUUGUGGUGAUGGACGUCCCGUGGGAGAACAUUACGGAGUUGACACAGAGAAGAUGCGCUGCCAACCUGCAAGCGAAGGUGCACCAAAAAGCACCGUCCACUUUAGUUUCUCUGACACAUCGGAUUUUCUCGAGUUUUGUCUCUAGGUGUUGUAAUUUUUAUAAUUUAACACUAGCCUGGAUACAAAGGCACAAUGUCCUGUGAAUCAACAAAUAUUUGGACCAAAUAAAAAUAAAAGGAGCAAUACAUUUAAGUAGCUACAUGAUGGCUUGGGUCAAAAUCUUUGCCAAGGCUAAAGUAGGCUAUGGAUCUGUUAUGGACUGUACUUUUUCGCGAUUAAUUGUUGCACGUUUGAGUGUAGAGGGUUUAACUUCUUGCAGUAUCAAAAUUUAUAUUGGCUGGGUAAAUGUACUGUUGACAAGAGGUGGCAUGUUAAUUCGUAGUGCUCGGUUACUGUAAAUGAGUUGCCAACGGGCUACAACAGAGAUAGUCAAAUCUGGCAUUUAGGGCCUUUAGUAGGCUACUGCUGUUUUUUUUCAUUCUUCCCCUCCAAUCAGGGACUGAUUUAGACCUGGGACACCAGGCAAGACGAAUCUCUGGUAAAAGAAAAAGCGGCGGUACUACGGAUUUAGGCGAACAGAUUUGUGUAGGCUACCACGUGCUACGAAAUUUCGCACUUCUCCGGGGCCCUGUUCUUAAGUGAACUUUGACUUUUCUGGCCACUAGAUGGAGCUAAAUAUUGGCAACCGACGAGAGGACCGGAGAGCGUUCAGUUUCAAGCAUGGACCGUACUUACAAUAUUGUCUUAUGACCAGACCAUACUAAAGUUUAACUGUCUGUUUUACUGUUUUAAAAUGUGUGGUUGAAUCCUGAGAGUAUAGGUUAAUUUUCACCAUUCUUAGUUUAUUUUGUCCAGUUAAAACAGAAGGUUUUAAUUGGCUCAUCUAUGGGAAUCCCUGCCACCUAGUGCACUGUAUCCCACUUUUCCUUUCUCGUUCUCAGUCUUUCCCCACUCCCUCACUCUUCUUUUUCUGUCCACCUCUUCCUCUCAU